GACAGAGGGUGCGACCGUUGUUCGGAAUUACUGGGCGUAAAGCGCGUGUAGGCGGCAGCGUAAGUCGGGCGUGAAAUCCCACGGCUCAACCGUGGAAGUGCACUCGAAACUGCGCAGCUAGAGUCCUGGAGAGGAAGGUGGAAUGCUUGGUGUAGAGGUGAAAUUCGUAGAUAUCAAGCGGAACACCGGUGGCGAAGGCGGCCUUCUGGACAGUGACUGACGCUGAGACGCGAAAGCGUGGGGAGCAAACAGG
rnacentral:rRNA from 1 species